AAGGCUUUAGCUUAAUUAAAGUGUCUGUUUUGCAUGCAGAAGAUGUGAGUUAGUAUCUUGCAGGUCUUA
rnacentral:tRNA from 2 species